rnacentral:rRNA from 1 species
UACAGAGGUCUCAAGCGUUGUUCGGAUUCAUUGGGCGUAAAGGGUGCGUAGGCGGCGCGGUAUGUCGGGUGUGAAAUCUUGGAGCUUAACUCCGAAACUGCAUUCGAUACUGCCGUGCUUGAGGACUGGAGAGGAGACUGGAAUUUACGGUGUAGCGGUGAAAUGCGUAGAUAUCAUGAGGAAUACCAGAGGCGAAGGCGGCUACCUGGACAAUUGCUGACGCUCAGGCACGAAAGCGUGGGGAGCAAAAGGG